rnacentral:lncRNA from 1 species
AUUGUUUGGGGCUUCCUUUUAUAGAGUUAAAGAAAAGGGGUGUGGUGAGGGAAUUCUGUUUGUAUUGACAGCCAUUUAGAUAGCCAGUUAGAUAGACAUUCCCUUCCCUAAUGCAUCUCACUUUAACCAUGCACACCCAGUUCUGCAUAGGCAUAAGAUGGUAAGUGGGAUUCAGAUUUAGUGUACCCAAAGCCUGGUUUACACUGUUGAGUGUUCAUUCCCCAGACUGAUACAGCACUGAGUUUACUGCUCACUGCCACAAAGAAGUGAGCCCCAUCUUGACAAUUGUCAGAGUAGUAAGAACACAAUUUCAUUCACAUUUGGGAGUUUUAUUUAAGGUUCAGAAUUGUUUUCCAGCAAAACUGGGAGCUUGUGACUAAAAUUAGGUCGGCAUUAUUCCCAACAUGAUACCCAGUGUGGUGGACAUGUUGGUUAGGCUAGCAUCUAACGAGAACAGACCACUGACCUCAGAGCUCCAUCUUGGUGAGUUUAGGAACACAGAGAGCUCAGGAGUGAGCCUCACACAAAAAUGGCUUUCUGACUGCAAUUGGAAGGUCAAAGGAAUCCUGGAUUUUGUAUGUGAUUUUCUUCUGUAAGAGAGGAAAGCAUAACAUUUGCUGUACUCUACCUGGUUCUCUGAAGGGACUAUUAUAUGACAUGAUUCCUGGGGAGACAGAAACAAACACCUACUCAUCCCACUGAGGAAGCAGUAAGGACACCACCAAAGUCUAGCUUGGUGAACCAGUGAGUAUUGUUCCUUACGGGUUUGGGGUUAUCUAGAGGAAGAGAAAUAACAGAAAGUAAGAAUAUCCACCACAGCAUGGGUAAUUGCUCAGGAAAGUUAUAGACCUACAAUUCACUGCAUGGUUUAUAGGCAGCCUGACAGUUUGAAGAGUCUUUUAGACAACUCAGCUGUUUUGGGCCUCCUCAGAAGACCUUACUGUGUAUAGAACCUUGGGGAAGGAAAGACCUUGUGUAUCUGGUGAGUUUCAGGAACUUCCUGAGUCCUGAGUUGUUUACUUUGGGUCUUAAGGAGACCCCCUUUAGAAUUUCCUGUAUUAAGGAGCAAGUCUGUCUUUAAGAUUAUUUAGUCAUAGCAAACCUCCUAGAUCUUAACAAGCUUUACAGGGAAAUUACUCAGACAGCAGGAGCUGCCACAAGAAAAGAUAGUUUAACAAAAAACAACUGCAGGCUGCUAAUGCAUAUGCCUCAUGUUCACAUGGGAGCGAUCCAGUGAAAAAUGAGUUAUCUCAAAUAAAUGGUUUAGACAUCAAGCUUAGCUAGCUUCAGCUAAAGAAAAAAAAAAGGUGUGUAGGAAAGCCAAGGAUUG